AAAAAAGUGACGGAGAAUGCUAGUCAUAUAAGCUGACGGAAUAGCUGAGUGGAUCCUUCGGGUGAAGCGUAAUGAUGAAAGUUCUUCCAAGAAAAGCGAGUAUAGCAGCCGGUACCGCAAACCGACACAGGUAGACGGGAUGAAUAUUCUAAGGCGCUCGGGUGAGCCGUGGAGAAGGAACUAGGCAAAUUGACGCUGUAACUUCGGGAUAAAGCGUACCAUCUUCGGAUGGUCUCAGUAAAAUGGUUCAACCAACUGUUUAACAAAAACACAGGGCCCUGCAAAAUCGAAAGAUGACGUAUAGAGCCUGAUACCUGCCCGGUGCUGGAAGGUUAAGGAAGGAUGUUCGGCGCAAGCCAAAGCUUCUGACUGAAGCCCCAGUAAACGGCGGCCGUAACUAUAACGGUCCUAAGGUAGCGAAAUUCCUUGUCGGGUAAGUUCCGACCUGCACGAAUGGUCUAAUGAGUUGAACGCUGUCUCCUCCACGAGCCCGGUGAAAUUGUAGUAUCGGUGAAGAUGCCGGUUACCCGCCACGGGACGGAAAGACCCCGUGAACCUUCACUAUAGCUUUGCAUUGAUUUUGAAUUACGGAUGUGUAGAAUAGUUGGGACGCUUUGAAGCAUUGCCGCCAGGUAGUGUGGAGCGGUCGUUGAAAUACCAACCUUCUUUGAUUUAGGAUCUAAUCCCUUGCGGGAAACAGUGCAUGGUGGGUAGUUUGACUGGGGUGGUCGCCUCCUAAAGAGUAACGGAGGCUUGCAAAGGUACCCUCAGUACGGUUGGUAAUCGUACGAAGAGCGCAUUAGUAUAAGGGUGCUUGACUGUGAGGCACACAAGCCGAGCAGGGACGAAAGUCGGCUAAAGUGAUCCGGCGGUUCUGUAUGGAAGGGCCGUCGCUCAAAGGAUAAAAGGUACUCCCGGGAUAACAGGCUGAUCUCCCCCAAGAGCUCAUAUCGACGGGGAGGUUUGGCACCUCGAUGUCGGUUCGUCACAUCCUGGGGCUGGAGAAGGUCCCAAGGGUUCGGCUGUUCGCCGAUUAAAGUGGCACGUGAACUGGGUUCAGAACGUCGCAAGACAGUUCGGUCCCUAUCUGUGGUGGGCGCAAGUAAAUUGAGAGGACAUGACCUUAGUACGAGAGGACCGGGUCGUACGUACCGCUGGUGUAUCAGUUGUGCCGCCAGGUGCAAUGCUGAGUAGCUAUGUACGGACAGGAUAAACGCUGAAAGCAUCUAAGCGUGAAACCUUCCUCAAGAUGAGUUUACUUUUAAGGGCCGUCAGAGACUAUGACGUUGAUAGGCUACAGGUGUAAAGGUGGUAACAUCAAAGCCGAGUAGUACUAAUUGCCCGUAAGCUUUA
rnacentral:rRNA from 1 species